CAAAAACAAAACAAAAACCUUAUUUCAGUCCAAGUCAUCCGGACGCACUGGCGAAUGGUCAUUUUACGCAGACAUAAUAAACAUUCUGUACGUUCAAUUGAAAAUUGAAACUUCGUUUACAUAUUAAGAAAGAUACUAAACCAUAUAGUUGAUAGUAUAUAUUUAUUAUCGUACUUAGUUGUACAAAAUUGCAUUUUAUUAUAGUUUCGAACACUACCGCAUAAACAAGUACAAACUGAGCGCACAUCAAUAUUAAAUAGAUAUUAAAAAGCGACUGGAAAAAUUAACGUUUGUAGUGUCAAUAAUUUCGUAAUAUACGAGUAUAUGUUUUUCACUAUGCAUACUAACUACAGAAUAACACAGACUGAGUAAUUAUUAUAAUAUCAUUCACAUUUUUUCCAUAAUUUAUUGUUGUUUUCGACCUCGAUUUAUCAUGUUUUCGUGAAACGGGAACAUAAUAUUGUUUUAAUAUUUUCCGAUCGUACCGUACGAAAUUUUAAUAAAAACAUAUUACGUUUAUUCGAUUGUAAUAAAAUAAUAAUUAAAUUAUUAUAUAUUAUAUAUUAUAUAUUAUAUUAUAAUAUAAUACAUAAGAUUAUAUGACAAUAUUAUUCGAUUAGUGUUAUUAGUAUUAUUCGACUGGGCACAACGACUCGAACGACCGAAAAUUUCGAAUGAAUACGAAAUAACGUUCACAUAAUGUAUUUUUAUUGUAUACUGAUACAACAGAUUAAAAUAAUUAUUUGUUUUACGUAAAAUAUUAAAUAAUAUAUUAUCCUAUAUAUAUGUACACAUGUAUAUUUGUUUUUUGAUUAUGGACAUAUUGCUUAAAUAUUCUUAUAUAAUUAUAUAUUUGUAUAUUUAAUUUGGAAAAAAAUAUCCU